rnacentral:lncRNA from 1 species
GUGUGAUAGAAGGAUAGCAAACGCCACAAAUAAACAAAUUUUAUGUGACCAAAUAAUAUAGAAUAGCCACACGUAUGUAUCUAAACUUUUAAUAAUUUUCAUAACUAUUCCCACCUCUUACCAGUUCCUGGUUCCAAUUCGAGAAGAUCAGAUCGACUAUGUGAAUCCCUUUUAUCUAUGUGAUUAGCGUUAGUUUCUCAAACAUGUAUGUGUCAUUUUCUAUUCCCUCCGUACCAGAGAUGAGUUCGGCUUCCAAAUUGUUCGAUUAUAAGAGUUUUAGAUCUGCAGAAUUGAGUUCGAGUGAAGCAAAUCUGAGGUGAAUUUCCGGUGAUCCUGCCUCGUAUUGCGACCAGAAAAGGCACCACACUGAGGACAGUGAUGUUAACUCUUUUAGGGACUCAAGUAGUGAUGUAAGCAGUGAUUACAACCUCCCAAAGAGUGAAUUUUUUCAGUGGUUGGAUCAGUUGUCGUUAAAUUACCAACACGUCCUUCAAGAAGGCUUCUCUAGUGAUGAGGGUGAAUCAGUAAGACUACAAAGUUGUCUUUCAUUUGAGUAUUUGGAGUGUAAUCAACCUUGGGGUCGGGAACCUUUGAUUGAUUAGAUACUUGAUCUUGUGCGUCGCUUCAUAGACUUGAAAAGCGUGAAAAGUUGUGACUUGUUUUCUUCUAGUUGGUUAUCUGUGGCUUGGUACCCAAUUUAUAGGAGUCCAAUGGGACCAACAUUGAAAGAUCUUAAUGCUGUUUUUUACCUUUCAUUCUCUUCAUACACCAAUCACAGGCUAUGGAUAUUUUCACAACCUCUUCGGCUAAGAGCAUUCGGUUGAAGGUGGCUGGGUUUGGCGGGGCGAAACGGACCUGCAGAAGUAUCAUUGGAACAACUGGGUCACUCGUAAAGUGAACUACCUAACAUGGAGGGCUGUGUUGGGGACGGGGUGUAUCGCUACUAAAGAAGCUUUGACGUGAAGAGGUUUGGCUUUAGAUAACACUCUUUGCGGCAGGUGUGAGCUGGUAAUUGAAGAUGUGAAUCACAUUUUUGUCGAUUGUUUAUCGGCUAGAAGUGUGUGGUGGCAAAUCUGUAGAUGGACUAAGGAUCAACCACAUUAUUUGUCACCUAUAUUAUAUAUUUAUAUCGAGUGGAAUUGCUUAAUGUUUUACUUGCUUCGUAAAAGUUGCAGUAUAAGCUUUUUCACUAGUAUAAGAAUGUUUUCACUAAUAAAAGAUAAAUUAUCAGCAUUCAUUUGUUAAGAUAUAUUUAUACAUAUGAUAGUUUAAGUGAGAAAUAAAUAUAUCAAUGUUAAAGUUUGUUUAUUUUAGUUGUAU